ensembl:lncRNA novel transcript
GGGAGGCGCAUUGCAAACUUCCAGGUUCCGCGGCCCGAGAGGAAGGUUUUCUGGAGCGGGGAACGCGGAGAGGAGCCGGGGUCACCAGUGCCUCGCGCACCGCGGUGCUGCGCAGGCCGCGGGCAUACGGGGGUGAGGACCCCGGGCGUUGGACAGCGGACCCGACGCCCACCUUCCUCUCCAGACUCCCGCCCCCAGGAGCCAGAGCCCCAGCGCUUCCUCUGCCUCCCAUUCCUUCUCUGAGCGCCGCCCCCGCCUCCCCACUUGCGGGACGCUGAGUCUCCUAAUUUACAGCGAUUUCCCACAGCCACUUCUAACUACAUCGAGAUUUUAUUAAACGUUUAAUGAUGGGGUGCGGGGGCCUUCUGGCUACACACUCCCCUCCACACUC